UCUCAUCUUACUCUAUGCUGAAGUCUAUUUGGAUUGUUUUCUUAUUUGAUUUGAGUAUGUUCUUGGCAUCUUUCUUUUACAGGACAGCUUCUCUCCUCCAGGGCUGAGCCAUGAAGCUUGUCUCCCAGAGAAAGAGGAGCAGGAAACACUUGGGACAGAGAGGCCCCUGAAAAACUUUCCUGCUAGUGCCUAUGCAUUCCAGGUAGUGGGAAGAGGGACGACGAUAUAUGGAAGGCACGCCCUA